rnacentral:rRNA from 1 species
CGACGUAGGUAACCUGCCUGGUAGCGGGGGGUAACUAUUGGAAACGAUAGCUAAUACCGCAUAAGAGUAGAUGUUGCAUGACAUUUGCUUAAAAGGUGUAAUUGCAUCACUACCAGAUGGACCUGCGUUGUAUUAGCUAGUUGGUGGGGUAACGGCUCACCAAGGCGACGAUACAUAGCCGACCUGAGAGGGUGAUCGGCCACACUGGGACUGAGACACGGCCCAG